UUAAGUUCAGCGGGUAUUCCUACCUGAUCCGAGGUCAACCUUUGUAAGGGGGUUGUUUAACGGCAAGAACCCGCCGCACGACCAAAGCGAGAUGUAUUACUGCGCUCGGUGUGACUAGCGAGCCCGCCACUGGUUUCAGGGCCUGCGGCAGCCGCAGGUCCCCAACACAAGCCGGGGGCUUGAUGGUUGAAAUGACGCUC
rnacentral:misc_RNA from 1 species